CAUCUCUGCUCUUUGAGAUCUGCUUCUAUUGUUUUAUUUUUUUCUUCUGGUUUUGAAUCAAUUUUCUUCCUUUGCAAAAGCUUUAUUUUUAUUGAAUGAUAGAUAUUGUGAUUUUUUUUUGUUUUGUUUUUGCUGUUUACUGGGUUUGGUUCUGUCCCUUGAAAUCAUGUUGGAUUUUGUUCUGGUGUAAAGUCAAUUUAGGAUCAGUUGCAUUCUUUCAAGUCUUUUGUUUUGAACUUUGUUAGGGCACAUUCAGAGCAGCCUUGAGUUAGAGGCAAUGUAGCACCAGAACUAAGAUAGUACUAAUCUGUAGACUCUACUUGAUGCCUUCAUAUUAUGAGGCUUUAACAGUGGCUGGUAGGACAUAAGCUAUUCUUGGCCCUGUGUGAAUCCUAGAAUUUGUUUCAAAUUUUCAAUUGCUUUCUAAAACUCAUCCUUGGCUUCUUAAAAAUUAUGCAGACAUUUAAAUAAAGUCAAAUACAGAAUACAAAACUCUUGAUAAAUGUGAUUUCCAAUUCACCUUCCAAUGUAAGUAUUCAUAGGAUAACCAGUCUUCAAAAAGUUUAUGAAGCCAUAGAAUUAUAGUCCAAAAAAAACUUUCUCCAUGUGUUUGGUCCAACUCAACAUCUAUGGUGCUUUAGUUUCUUCUAUGGCAGUCACAUCAACUGUCAUCUAGUCUUAAGUUAAGCAUCCCAGUGAUAGAAAUCCCUAAAGAUAUUUGAAUUAAGUUAUUAGAAUCCUUGUGAGUCAUCUCUUUGCCAUGGUAUAUUUGUCUUUCCUCAGCUUUUACAUGCGACAUAAUAUUGAGCCCUGUUACAACAAAUGAUGGGAUUCUCCAAUUGUCUUUGAACUUACAUCAUCAAUUCUGCAUACAUAGUGCUAUCUUGUUAAUUAAUUAUUGCCCAGGAGCUCUUUUUUCUUUAUAUAUAUGCACCUCUGAUCUUCUACUUACUAACAUCCUAUUCUAUACACAUAUCCCUCCACCUCCCUUCAUCAAGACUGAUCUAUAUCUUCUCUCAUAACCUGGACCUCUGAGAUACAAGUGUUAACUCAUUUACAAAUGUUUUUAUCUUGACACUCUUUAAUUUCUUACCUAGGGAAUGAGUAGCCUGUGAAUUUUAGGGGCACUGAGAAAUCCAAUAAGGGAUGCUCUGUAAAUGAUGAUACUUCUUGGCAGCUACAUCUUGACAUUAUCUGUUCAAUUUUAAUAACCUGUCCCUGG
rnacentral:lncRNA from 1 species